GUGCCAGCCGCCGCGGUAAUACGUAAGGACCGAGCGUUGUCCGGAAUCAUUGGGCGUAAAGGGUACGUAGGCGGCUAGAAAAGUUAGAAGUCAAAGGCUAUAGCUCAACUAUAGUAAGCUUCUAAAACUAUUUAGCUUGAGAAAUGGAAGGGAAAGUGGAAUUCCUAGUGUAGCGGUGGAAUGCGCAGAUAUUAGGAAGAAUACCGGUGGCGAAGGCGACUUUCUGGCCAUUAUCUGACGCUGAGGUACGAAAGCGUG
rnacentral:rRNA from 1 species